rnacentral:lncRNA from 1 species
GAAAACGCGAAGCCUGAGCGACAAGGAACGAAAAACUACGCGAUCAACAUCAGCGCUGGUCGCCCGGGCGGUAUCCCUGACGCCUAGGUGGUGCACGUUCGAAGCUUGAGCAUCCAAAUAUGAUGCCCAGGCCUUACAUGAGCUUCAAUUCUCGCCCAAGCGAGCUCCCUACGACGCUUGGGCGUGAUUUCACUUGGAUCGGGCCCUGUUUCUGCUCUGUUUUGAUUCUUUUGCACCGGGCCGCACUCUGGGACGCGUUUGACACUAUUUAAAGGACCCUGGGGCCUAGGUUUUGCAUCCCUG